rnacentral:rRNA from 1 species
UAGGGAAUCUUCGGCAAUGGACGGAAGUCUGACCGAGCAACGCCGCGUGAGUGAAGAAGGUUUUCGGAUCGUAAAGCUCUGUUGUUAGAGAAGAACGUUGGUAGGAGUGGAAAAUCUACCAAGUGACGGUAACUAACCAGAAAGGGACGGCUAACUACGUGCCAGCAGCCGCGGUAAUACGUAGGUCCCGAGCGUUGUCCGGAUUUAUUGGGCGUAAAGCGAGCGCAGGCGGUUCUUUAAGUCUGAAGUUAAAGGCAGUGGCUUAACCAUUGUACGCUUUGGAAACGGGAGGACUUGAGUGCAGAAGGGGAGGGUGGAAUUCCAUGUGUAGCGGUGAAAUGCGUAGAUAUAUGGAGGAACACCGGUGGCGAAAGCGGCUCUCUGGUCUGUAACUGACGCUGAGGCUCGAAAGCGUGGGGAGCAAACAGG